CGGAUUGUAGUCUGNAACCCGACUACAUGAAGCUGGAAUCGCUAGUAAUCGCGGAUCAGAAUGCCGCGGUGAAUACGUUCCCGGGUCUUGUACACACCGCCCGUCACACCAUGGGAGCCGGGAAUGCCCGAAGUCGGUGACCUAACCGAAAGGAAGGAGCCGCCGAAGGCAGGUCUGGUAACUGGGGUGAAGUCGUAACAAGGUACC
rnacentral:rRNA from 1 species